UAGAGUUUGAUCCUGGCUCAGGACGAACGCUGGCGGCGUGCCUAAUACAUGCAAGUUGAGCGCUGAAGGUUGGUACUUGUACCGACUGGAUGAGCAGCGAACGGGUGAGUAACGCGUGGGGAAUCUGCCUUUGAGCGGGGGACAACAUUUGGAAACGAAUGCUAAUACCGCAUAAAAACUUUAAACACAAGUUUUAAGUUUGAAAGAUGCAAUUGCAUCACUCAAAGAUGAUCCCGCGUUGUAUUAGCUAGUUGGUGAGGUAAAGGCUCACCAAGGCGAUGAUACAUAGCCGACCUGAGAGGGUGAUCGGCCACAUUGGGACUGAGACACGGCCCAAACUCCUACGGGAGGCAGCAGUAGGGAAUCUUCGGCAAUGGACGAAAGUCUGACCGAGCAACGCCGCGUGAGUGAAGAAGGUUUUCGGAUCGUAAAACUCUGUUGGUAGAGAAGAACGUUGGUGAGAGUGGAAAGCUCAUCAAGUGACGGUAACUACCCAGAAAGGGACGGCUAACUACGUGCCAGCAGCCGCGGUAAUACGUAGGUCCCGAGCGUUGUCCGGAUUUAUUGGGCGUAAAGCGAGCGCAGGUGGUUUAUUAAGUCUGGUGUAAAAGGCAGUGGCUCAACCAUUGUAUGCAUUGGAAACUGGUAGACUUGAGUGCAGGAGAGGAGAGUGGAAUUCCAUGUGUAGCGGUGAAAUGCGUAGAUAUAUGGAGGAACACCGGUGGCGAAAGCGGCUCUCUGGCCUGUAACUGACACUGAGGCUCGAAAGCGUGGGGAGCAAACAGGAUUAGAUACCCUGGUAGUCCACGCCGUAAACGAUGAGUGCUAGAUGUAGGGAGCUAUAAGUUCUCCGUAUCGCAGCUAACGCAAUAAGCACUCCGCCUGGGGAGUACGACCG
rnacentral:rRNA from 1 species